AAUAAACGAAUUUAUGAGUUUUUGGAUAGAAUUUUUGACUAUACGUCUUAUUUGAAUUUUUAAAGAUUAAUAUUUUUAUUGUUAUUAUAUGAUAAAACAUAAGUAGUACUUUACGUGUAAAUAUUUUUUUUUCAUUUUUUUCAUAAAUUUUUCAAAUAAAAUGAAUGGUCAAACGCUCAACCUACCUCAGAAAUGCUUUUUUU
rnacentral:pre_miRNA from 1 species